ACUUACAGAUGACCUUAUUAUGGGAAGAAGCUGCAUACAGACAGGCUUCUGCUACCCGUGGCUGAAAAAGGGUUUGAUCUGAGCAGGACCUCUCCAGACCCCUUCACCCUCACUUGGGAGGAAAAAUCGAACAGUGAGGAGAACAUGCUCAGAGGAGUUGGAUUACAGCUUACACGUGUAUUCGAACCCAAAGUUACACAAUUUCACGAAGAACUGUGUGCAGAAAUGGUUUCUGAUUUUGCUUACAGCGGCUGAGAGUUUGUAAGAGAUUUGGAGGGACAUAACAUUUAUUUCCUAUUUCCCUGAGCUUCAGUCCAGGCCUUGGAAAAACCCAUCUGACAGUGAGUUUGUUUGUAUAUUUCAAAUUUUUUCCUAAGUAUGCUAGGCUCAUUAGCAAGCCUUGGAAAAUGCAUACUUUGUUGAAGUUAAUAUGGAAAACAAGAUACUGAGGGCUCAAAUCUGUCUCCAGAAUAUAAAUAAGCAUACCUUCCUUUGGAGCAGGUUUUGACUGGAGUCAUACUGGAACCCUUGUUUCUGGGAGAGUUACGAAUGUGCUUUGCUAGGAAAUGCUGUUCCUUAAAGAGCUCGUGAGGCCUACAGGGUCUACAUGAAUUCUGAUCCUGCAUGUGCACGGCACCAUGUGGCCUGAACAGGACCUCACCUGUGUUGGCAGGAGAUGCUAAUGGCAGGUACUUUGCCAUGGAAGACCCUGGGAUGCUUGGCUGCAACACGUCGUGAGGACAUGGCAGUGACAGCUCAAUGCUGACCAGACUUCUUCAACCAAUAUGAAACACGUUUAAAUGGCAGAGGAGCCCAACCAAAAGGUGUUGCUCAAAAUGGUGCUUCGAAGGCUUAACCAAUGAAAUAACUCUUGACAUUGCAUGAAGCGGUCAUAUUUACCUCUGCCUCUCCAUUUCUAUGAUAAUUUUCGAAUUCAAAGAUUGGAUCUGAGAAUUUCAUAUGAAUUAAAUGUCUGUGUAAGCUCUGCUUACCCACUUGGCACAAGGUGGUUGUUUCCUCGUGGAUCAGAAUUCAUACUUCCCAUUAAGCCAAAGUAAUUUCUGUUCACCACUG